GACCACAAUGUGAACUCUCAGCCACUGCUCCAGAACCAUGCCUGCUGGCCACCAUGCUUCCUGCCACCAUAGUCAUGGACUCACCCUCUGAAACUGUCUGCCUGAACACCACCAUGUCCCACUAUAAUGGACUGAACCUCUGAACUGGGUACCUGCGAGCUAGAUCUGGAGAUGCAGAUGGAAGGGAACACCCUGGACCUGCCAGAGAGGAAAUUUUCGACCAGAGGUCUCCCUGGGGAACUGUGUGGAGUGAGGGCAGCGGUAUGUAUGCCUGGGGUGAGGCAACGCCUGAUCUGGGCUUUGGGUGACCAACAACCAGCUGGGGACUGACUGCCAAUGCAGAGACUGAACCUGUCAAGAUGCCUCUGCAGCUGCUGUCUCAAAAGAGAAGAGUGUGGGGACACAUGGGAUGAGCCGCCAGAGGCAGCUGAGGUGAUGAGGGGAGUUUCUGGGGACACCACAAAAGCAGUUCUCUGUAGUGGGGAAGCAGCCUCAUGUCCAGUAUGGAGGCUCUCGGUGUUGUGGGACUUCUGAGACUCAGAAUGUGACUCCAAAGAAGAGUGAAGAGACAGGGCUGAAGAGAUGGCUCAGUGGUUAAGAACACUGGUCGCUCUUCCAGAUGGAUGGACCAGAGUUCAAUUCCCAGCACCUAUGUGUGUCUCACGACCAUCUGUAACUCUGGUUCAGGAGAUACAGCACCCUCUUCUGGCUUCAGAUGAGCACCAGGCACAGAUGUCCAUACAGGAAAAC
rnacentral:lncRNA from 1 species